UCCGCCUGCCUGAAAAACUGCUGACUGUCUUGUUUUUCCCUCCCAGCUCUGAGUUGAAUUACAUAAAAAACAGGUGCCGUUAGUGAAUCAGCGUAUCUGUAAUCGGUGAAUCUGUCCCAUUUGUGGCUCAUGCAACAUUUCAUGCAGUCAUCUCCUCAUCAGUGUGCCCACAGCCUUGUUAAACCCUCCAAAGCCCGACCAUCAGAGCCAUGUGCCAGCUCCAGCCUCCAUUCCUCACCAGCUACUGUGCAAAUCCCCCUCCUAGAAAGCAACUCUGCAACUCAGUUUAUAAUAAACCUCAGGGUCCAGCUUUUAUAUUCUUAACAGACGCUCUACAUUUGGUGCUGUUCAUGGAAGAAGAGAUCGCUAAUCAAAGUGGAAAUCUAGUCAAACAAAAACUACUUUAACUUUACUUUUCUUGUUUGUCUGGGGUUUUUUUCUUCAAUUUUAACCACCAUAAAACCACAAAUAUGUAUUAGCUAGCUGGCAUUACCAGAAUUUAGAGCAUUAAGCUUGAGUAGCAUCCAUCCAUCUAUUACUGCUUAUCUGGGUUUGGAUCACAGUCUAAGGAGAGAUGCCCGGACCUCCUGCACCUAGAUCAACUCCUGCAGCUCAACCCGAGGGAGGGACACCAAGGUUUUCUCAGCUGAGAGGCAUAAUCUCUCAGCAUGCCCUGAGUCUGCCCCUAGGCCUCCUCCCACAACAGGACAGAUCAGGAGCUGGAGUAAACCAAGGCAGAGUGGGAGACCUGAAGAUGGUGGAGGGUUGACAGACGGUUCCAGCAGACCUGCACGUCUCAUUAGUCUUAAUCAUGUAGACUUUGGGGGUUUGUGUAGGUUUGUGCAGAUGGUGCAGGAACACUUGAAUGUUUGCUUUUAGGGAUUUUUGUAGUUACCACAAAAAAGUCAAAGUGAAAUUCCAGAUAAAGGUGCAGCUGUCUGCGUUGUCGGUUUCAGUUAGUGAAAUCUUAAAACUUAGCAAUGUAAUAACUUGAUUGUUGUAAUGAUACUACAACAUGAUUAGGUAAAAAGUAGUAUGUCUUCAGCCUCUCGAUUCAUAUUUAGCAGGCAAAGUGAAAAAAUGAAUAAAAUAAUUCAGUUAAUUAAUACUGUGAAAUCAUUUUGACAACUUGGCUCACCGGUGCACUGAAUGUGAUGACCUGUAGAAAUGAACAUUUUAAAAUAAUAAAAGAAAAAGAAAGAAGAAACAAAGUCAGAGUGAAACUGUGGCUGAAAGUGCAGCUUGUAAAUUUAGCACUACUUUGCAGCCAAACUGUAAAUGUCAGAUGUUGAA